rnacentral:rRNA from 1 species
CCUACGGGGGGCUGCAGUGGGGAAUAUUGGACAAUGGGCGCAAGCCUGAUCCAGCAAUGCCGCGUGUGUGAAGAAGGCCUGCGGGUUGUAAAGCACUUUGAGUGGGGAAGAAGGCCUGGGGGUUAAUAGCUUCUGGGGUUGACGUUACCAACAGAACAAGCACCGGCUAACUCCGUGCCAGCAGCCGCGGUAAUACGGAGGGUGCGAGCGGUAAGUAGAAUUACUGUAGGCAAAGCGCGCGUACUGAGUUGAAAGCCCUGGGCUUAACCUGGGAACUGCAUUUGAUACUGGUUGACUGGAGUGUGGUAGAGGGGUGUGGAAUUUCCGGUGUAGCAGUGAAAUGCGUAGAGAUCGGAAGGAACACCAGUGGCGAAGGCGGCACCCUGGACCGACACUGACGCUGAGGUGCGAAAGCGUGGGGAGCAAACAGGAUUAGAUACCCCUGUAGUC